rnacentral:rRNA from 1 species
UACGUAGGGUGCGAGCGUUAAUCGGAAUUACUGGGCGUAAAGCGUGCGCAGGCGGUUAUGUAAGACAGGUGUGAAAUCCCCGGGCUUAACCUGGGAAUGGCAUUUGUGACUGCAUAGCUAGAGUGUGUCAGAGGGGGGUAGAAUUCCACGUGUAGCAGUGAAAUGCGUAGAGAUGUGGAGGAAUACCGAUGGCGAAGGCAGCCCCCUGGGAUAACACUGACGCUCAUGCACGAAAGCGUGGGGAGCAAACAG